AACGAACGCUGGCGGCAGGCUUAACACAUGCAAGUCGAACGCCCCGCAAGGGGAGUGGCAGACGGGUGAGUAACGCGUGGGAAUCUACCCAGAUCUACGGCACAACAGUUGGAAACGACUGCUAAUACCGUAUACGCCCUACGGGGAAAGAUUUAUCGGAUUUGGAUGAGCCCGCGUUAGAUUAGCUAGUUGGUGAGGUAAUGGCUCACCAAGGCGACGAGCCAUAGCUGGGCUGGGAGGAUGAUCAGCCACACUGGGACGGAGACACGGCCCGGACUCCUACGGGAGGCAGCAGUGGGGAAUAUUGGACAAUGGGCGCAAGCCUGAUCCAGCCGUGCCGCGUGAGUGAUGAAGGCCUUAGGGUUGUAAAGCUCUUUCACCGAUGAAGAUAAUGACGGUAGUCGGAGAAGAAGCCCCGGCUAACUUCGUGCCAGCAGCCGCCGUAAAAC
rnacentral:rRNA from 1 species